CAAUUUAUAACUUUAUAGGAAAGUAUUUCAGUUACAUUGAAACCAAGUUUGUGCGAUUCAAACUAAAUUGA
rnacentral:tRNA from 1 species